UACGGAGGGUGCAAGCGUUAAUCGGAAUUACUGGCGUAAGCGUGCGCAGGCGGUUUGUUAAGUCCGUUGUGAAAGCCCCGAGCUCAACUUGGGAAUUGCAGUGGAUACUGGCAGGCUGGAGUACGGUAGAGGAAGGUGGAAUUCCCGGUGUAGCAGUGAAAUGCGUAGAUAUCGGGAGGAACACCAGUGGCGAAGGCGGCCUUCUGGAC
rnacentral:rRNA from 1 species